rnacentral:rRNA from 1 species
AUUGAACGCUGGCGGCAGGCCUAACACAUGCAAGUCGAACGGUAACAGGAAGCAGCUUGCUGCUUUGCUGACGAGUGGCGGACGGGUGAGUAAUGCCUGGGAAACUGCCUGAUGGAGGGGGAUAACUACUGGAAACGGUAGCUAAUACCGCAUAACGUCGCAAGACCAAAGAGGGGGACCUUCGGGCCUCUUGCCAUCGGAUGUGCCCAGAUGGGAUUAGCUAGUAGGUGGGGUAACGGCUCACCUAGGCGACGAUCCCUAGCUGGUCUGAGAGGAUGACCAGCCACACUGGAACUGAGACACGGUCCAGACUCCUACGGGAGGCAGCAGUGGGGAAUAUUGCACAAUGGGCGCAAGCCUGAUGCAGCCAUGCCGCGUGUAUGAAGAAGGCCUUCGGGUUGUAAAGUACUUUCAGCGGGGAGGAAGGGAGUAAAGUUAAUACCUUUGCUCAUUGACGUUACCCGCAGAAGAAGCACCGGCUAACUCCGUG